ACCACCUUCGGGUGAUGUAGAGCGGCGAACGGGUGAGUAACAGGUGGGUAAUCUGCCUCCUGGCGGGGGACAACAGCUGGAAACGGCUGCUAAUACCGCAUGUGAUUGCAGGCUUAUGGCUUGCAAGGAAAGGCGCUUCACGGCGCCACCAGGAGAUGAGCCCGCCCCCCAUUAGCUAGUUGGUGAGAUAACAGCCCACCAAGGCUUCGAUGGGUAGCCGAGCUGAGAGGUUGAUCGGCCACACUGGGACUGAGACACGGCCCAGACUCCUACGGGAGGCAGCAGUAGGGAAUCUUCCGCAAUGGACGAAAGUCUGACGGAGCAACGCCGCGUGAGUGAUGAAGGUUUUCGGAUCGUAAAGCUCUGUUGUUAGGGAAGAACAAGUGCGAGAGUAACUGCUCGCACCUUGACGGUACCUAACCAGAAAGCCACGGCUAACUACGUGCCAGCAGCCGCGGUAAUACGUAGGUGGCAAGCGUUGUCCGGAAUUAUUGGGCGUAAAGGGCUCGCAGGCGGUUUCUUAAGUCUGAUGUGAAAGCCCCCGGCUCAACCGGGGAGGGUCAUUGGAAACUGGGAAACUUGAGUGCAGAAGAGGAGAGUGGAAUUCCACGUGUAGCGGUGAAAUGCGUAGAGAUGUGGAGGAACACCAGUGGGCGAAGGCGACUCUCUGGUCUGUAACUGACGCUGAGGAGCGAAAGCGUGGGGAGCGAACAGGAUUAGAUACCCUGGUAGUCCACGCCGUAAACGAUGAGUGCUAAGUGUUAGGGGGUUUCCGCCCCUUAGUGCUGCAGCUAACGCAUUAAGCACUCCGCCUGGGGAGUACGGUCGCAAGACUGAAACUCAAAGGAAUUGACGGGGGCCCGCACAAGCGGUGGAGCAUGUGGUUUAAUUCGAAGCAACGCGAAGAACCUUACCAGGUCUUGACAUCCUCUGACAACCCUAGAGAUAGGGCUUUCCCUUCGGGGACAGAGUGACAGGUGGUGCAUGGUUGUCGUCAGCUCGUGUCGUGAGAUGUUGGGUUAAGUCCCGCAACGAGCGCAACCCUUGAUCUUAGUUGCCAGCAUUUAGUUGGGCACUCUAAGGUGACUGCCGGUGACAAACCGGAGGAAGGUGGGGAUGACGUCAAAUCAUCAUGCCCCUUAUGACCUGGGCUACACACGUGCUACAAUGGACAGAACAAAGGGCUGCAAGACCGCAAGGUUUAGCCAAUCCCAUAAAUCUGUUCUCAGUUCGGAUCGCAGUCUGCAGCUCGACUGCGUGAAGCUGGAAUCGCUAGUAAUCGCGGAUCAGCAUGCCGCGGUGAAUACGUUCCCGGGCCUUGUACACACCGCCCGUCACACCACGAGAGUUUGCAACACCCGAAGUCGGUGAGGUAACCUUUAUGGAGCCAG
rnacentral:rRNA from 1 species